rfam:Asian citrus Psyllid, Diaphorina citri - Florida Strain, whole genome shotgun sequence.
GCCUAGUUAGUUUAGUUGGUAGCGCGCCUGCCUUGUAAGCGCUAGGCCGCGGGUUCGAUUCCCGCCCGGGGCG